AGAAGAUUUUGCGUAGCCUCACCAAGAGAAGAAGUUGGAAAGAAAAAAAAAGAAGUUGGCAAGGCAUCCAGAGGAGACCCCGCCAGCACCUGGGUUCUCUGCCAGGGGAGAGAGGCCCUAGAAACAAGAACCAAUCCAGCAGCAACAAGCAUCUCUGGCAGUCUAUCAUUUCCCUUCAACUGAAAUCAGAUCUUCUUAAAGAAAUGCUUGGCUCUCAGACUGGGAACGGAAAUGUACAAGAUGUGCUUCGAUAUCUGGUCAAAUCAGAAACUCAAAAAGCUAUCAAAGUCUCUUUGGACUGUGUCAGAAAGAGGUGAAAAGACUCCCACUUGCCAAAGACGGGACAAUUUGAGCAUUCAUAAGACUAAUCACUAUAAUGGACUAUAGUGAACUGAAGUACAUCAAAUAUGUUUCAAUCCAUGAUUUCAUAAUGGUAUCUUAAAUAAUUGGUCACUUGUGAAGGACUCUACGUAACCAACUCAACAACUUGAAAACUGCCUCCCCUCCUACCAGCACAGAGGAGAGAACCAGGAGAGUGGAGGAUUCAGCCACCCAGAAUGAUGUGCAGGCGGGGCGUGGUAUUUCACGCCUAUAAUCCCAGCACUUUGGGAGGCCAAGGUGGGUAGAUCACUUGAGGUCAGGAGUUCAAGACCAGCCUGGUCAACAUGGUAAAACUCCGUCUCUACUAAAAAUACAAAAACUAGCCAGGCGUGGUGGCACGUGCCUGUAGUCCCAGCUACUUGGGAGGCUGAGGCAGGAAAAUCACUAGAACCAGGAAGGCAGAAGUUGCAGUGAGCUGAGAUAG
rnacentral:lncRNA from 1 species